AGAGUUUGAUCCUGGCUCAGGAUGAACGCUACGGCUGGCGGGAGGCUCCAUACAUGCUAUGUCGAACGCCCCGCAAGGGGAGUGGCGAACGGGUGCGUAACACGUACGUAACCUGCCGCAGACUGAAGGAUAUACCAGAGAAAUUUGGGGCAAACCUUCAUGGCCCGUUUGGGGGGCAUCCCCUGAACGGUAAAAGAAAUGKUCUGCGAUGGGCUUGCGUUGCAUUAGAUAGUUGGUGAGGUAACGGCUCACCAAGUCCACGAUGCAUAGGGGGUCUGAGAGGAUGAUCCCCCACACGGGCACUGAGACACGGGCCCGACUCCUACGGGAGGCAGCAGUAGGGAAUAUUGGUCAAUGGGCGAAAGCCUGAACCAGCCAUCCCGCGUGCAGGAAGAAGGAGCUCUGCUCUGUAAACUGCUUUUGUCUGGAAAAAACAGCCCACCCGGUGGGAAAUGAUGGUACCAGACGAAUAAGCACCGGCCAACUACGUGCCAGCAGCCGCGGUAAUACGUAGGGUGCAAGCGUUACCCGGAAUCACUGGGUUUAAAGGGUGCGCAGGCGGACUUUCAAGUCCGGGGUUAAGACCUUCGCUCAACGAAGGAAAGGCCCCGGAGACUGACAGUCUGGAGACCGGUGGAGGUUGACGGAAUGAAAGGUGUAGCCGGUGAAAUGCGUAGAUAUCUUUCAGAACGCCGAUUGCGAAGGCAGUCAACUACGCCGGAUCUGACGCUCAGGCACGAAAGCGUGGGUAGCAAACAGGAUUAGAUACCCUGGUAGUCCACGCUGUAAACGAUGGAUACUCGAUGCACCGGUCGCAAGACUGGUGUGUCCCAGCGAAAGCGGUAAUAUCCCACCCUGGGAAGUACGCCGGCAACGGUGAAACUCAAAGGAAUUGACGG
rnacentral:rRNA from 1 species